rnacentral:lncRNA from 1 species
UCCCAGGCCAUGUGCACCAAAAUGAACUUUAAACAUCAAGUUUACCAUUUCAAGCUUUUUUGGAAAACAAGCAACACAUUAACCAGUUAUUAUAUCUAUUCAAAUUAUCAUUAAACCUAUUCAAAUCAUGCCAAUUCAACCAUUUUAAGUGCCUAAUCAAUAUACCCUCAUUGGUACCACAAUUAUACAUACAUGUACAAUGAAAUAAAUCAUCACAUUACAAUCAACAUCAAUCUAAGAUUAACUAGGUACAUACUUCACAUAUUUACAUAUCAAACGAGGUCAUUAACACAACAACCUAUUAUAUGCCAUAUAAUCCAAAAUAAACAUUCAAAAACUACCGAUAUCGGAUGAAUAAUGUGACUUGAGUGAUGAUCCGGUCUUCCGUCCCACAAAAAGAUAUCUACAAGAAAAUGCAAGCCACACAAGUAAGCUUAUUGAAGCUUAGUAAGUUCGAAGGAUAGUAACAAUGAAUCUAACUGAAAUAAACAUAACAAUUUAAUCAAAUACAAUUCCACAACUAAUGUUUCCUGUCAUCCAUAAUUUUAAACCGGUAAAUUACAUAGCUCAAUUCAAUUCUCAAAUAAUAAUUUCCGAAAAUCAUACAUGUCCACAACAAAAUCACUUCAAGAUAUCAAGUACAAAACAUGCCAUUCUAAGUCUUUAAACAAGUAAUUAAUCUAAUAAUUACGACUUGAUGAACAACUUACAAAUACGAGUACGCAAGUAGUCCAACCAAAACACACCAAGCGCUCAUUAGAGCUAAUCCAACCAAUAACAUUACUCGGCACUUAGUGCCCAGCCCAACAUCCAUCCAAAACACACCUCGACACUAAAUACCAGCUUGAAGGCUUUACAUCUGCCCCUGGUAACACACUAGAAUCAAGGAGUAAUACACGAUGGCUCGCAACAAAUGCUGAACCUCAGCAUACUCAGGAAAUAUAUAAUCCAUGUAACAUCUCCUCCUCUUCAAGCCCCAUAUAACAUGCCAUGUAAUCAGUCGUACUCUAUCUCGCGUUCAUCCGACCCAAACACAAUAAUUCAAUAGGCAUUUUCCAAGUAAUUCCACAUCAUUAAUAUAACAAUUAAUAUCCAUUAUUCCAUAGCAUAUCAUUAUACAAUUCAUGAAAAUAUUAAAUUACAAGCCGAACGAACUUCCUUAGACUGAAUUAUAAUAGUUGCAAAAGUUUAAGAACUUUCGCAGUUUUACCUUUUCCACAUAAGUCAAUAGGGUCUUGAUCUAAAAUGUAAAAUUUUCUCUUUAUUAGCUUAUAUUCAUAUGCCAAUUAAUUGUUCAUUUUAUACCCUUUUAUUUUUUGAAAUUACACAAUUGCUCCUAAAUUUUACAACUUUUGCAAUUUAAUCUCUUAAUCCGAAAAUCAUCAAAUUAACCAUUUUCUCAAGUUCAAAAUUUACAGUCGAAUAAUUUAGGCCCUUAAACAGUCUCAAUUAUACCUCUAAAUCACCAUCAAACUUUGAAAUUUUGACAUUUUAACAAUUUAAUCAUUAAAUCAAAAACUAAUAAAAAUUACUUCACAAAACAACCAAAUAUCACAAUUGAAGCUUCAAACACAUAACUAUCACAAAAAAAAAAACCAAGAUUCAUCAAUGAAAAUUUCUAAAAUUUUUAACAGAUUCAAAAAUGAAAGUACAGUUUAGUUAGACCUAAUUGUAACGAUCUCAAAAUUAUAGAAAUUAUAAGAAAACGGGCAAAUUUCCAUACCAUACAAAGCCAAGGAGCUGCUAGGUCUUCAACUUCCUAGGUCUUCAAUGGUGAUUUCGACAAGUGAUAAAAGAAAGAUGAAGAAGAAAUGUCUAAUUCUUUCAAUUUGUUUUGUUUAAUUUUAAUUUAAUUACAAAACUGCCAUCCAAUAUGUUUUAAUUAAUUAAUUUUGUUCCUUUUCAGUCCACUAACCUUUAACGAGGUUAAAUUACUUCAUUGCCCCUCCCACAUUAUUAGUUAAGUUAUUAAAUUAUCUACAUGCAAUAAUUAUUAAAUUUUGCACCUUUUAUAAAUUAAUCUUUUUUUUAAUUAGUUAUCUAAACGUUAAAAUUUAUUAACUAAAUUUUUAUACGACUUUAAUGAAUUCAAAAAUAUUCCAUAAAUAAUAUUUACAGGCCGACACGAUAAAAAUUUAUAGUCCCGAAACUACGUUGCGUCAUCAUUAAAAAAUGUGCUAUUACACGAUAAAAUAAAAAAAUAAGGAAAGAUAGAAUAAAAAAAAGAGGGCUUAACUUAAUAGAUUAUUAUAGCCUAUCUCAAACCCUCAACUCUUAAUUUUUGUAUAUCAUACCCAUAUAUGUUCUCAAACCCUCAACUCUUAAUUUUUGUAUUUCAUACCCAUAUAUGUUCUCAAACCCUCAACUCUUAAUUUUUGUAUUUCAUACCCAUAUAAAUUAUUGUAGCCCAUCUCAAACCCUCAAGUCUUAAUUUUUUUUACUAUCAAGCUAAUUAUUGGCCUAAAAAAAUAAAGGUGGUGCCGCCUCUUUACCACCCACAAUAUAUAAUUUCACUCUUCACCACCCACAAUAUAUAAUUUCAGUAGAUAAUGGGGACGACAUACCAUUUUGAUAUUUAUUUUUUAUUUUUGUUUUAUCUAGAUAAAAAAAAACCCCCCACAGGGUCAUGAUUUUUCAAAACUACCUCUGUUAAUAAAUCAAUCAAAAUACUUGUGCUACACUAAGGGUUGCUGCUGUCACAACCCAAUUAUGAGAUUUUGGUGUAUACAUAGUAGAUUAACGUUUUAAUAUAAAAUUAAUUGCAUCCAUAAAAUCAUAAUCAGUCAAAAUUUUCAUUAUUUACGUUUGCAAAAUACACACUUACUUAAAUUAUAUGGUUAUAAAUAUAUUUGAAAAGAAAAAAAAAUUACUGGUUGAGAAUGGAGAAGAUGAGAAAUUGAUCGGUGAUCGGAACACUAAAAAAGUCCGCUUUAAGGGCUUGGAUUCUAUUGUUGAAAAUGAUAUGGUAGUGGACUCGAUCCCUGCGCUGGAGAUCUCAUGGAGGGAUAAAGUUUUGGGAUGAGGGGCUCUUGUCCCAAGGAGAGACGAGGAUUUUGAGUUUCUAGAUGAAGAAGUGGUCAAAACGACAGUUGAUGGUAUUCCUGCUAUUAAUUUUUCUGAGAGGAUCGAACAGUUUCUUUUCAGAGAUAUGGCGACUACGGUGGUCAUUAAACUUCUUGGCCGAAAUAUUUGAUACUCUAUUCUACAUAAUAGAAUUCAGUCUUUAGAAGCCUUCUCAACAGAUUCACAUAAUGGAUGUGGAGAAUGGCUAUUUUCUGAUUAAAUUUCAUAGUAGAGAAGAUUACGAGAGGGUGCUUACACAGGGACCAUGGAUUGUCCUUGGUUAGUAUCUCACUGUUCAACUGUGGACACCGGAGUUUAACCCUCUUCAAGCUUUCCCUAGCAACACUAUGGUUUCGAUCAGAUUACCGGGUCUUCCAGGGUUUCUUUAUAAACGACAAAUCUUGGAGGAAAUCCGGGGUUUUAUUGGGAAGGUCACUAAGCUCAAUUUUCAGACCGAUAAGGGGCCGAGGGGAAAAUUUGAUAGAAUGGUCAUGUGCAUCGAUUUGAGGAAGCCCUUAGUUUCUUAGGUUCUGGUUAAUGGGGCGGUGCAAAGGGUGGAGUUUGAAGCGCUACCAUCCGUGUGUUUCUCCUGUGGAAGGUCCGGUCAUUCGAAGGACAUGUGUGUGGAUGUGGGGUUUUCGCAGGACGUAGCCGAGGGUAGGAAUAUAACGACGGAACGCUUACCGGAGGAAGUCAAAGCAGUGGAGCCGUCGGAGCCGUUCUGACCCUAGAUGAUUGUUGAGAGGAAGUCACGGAGAAACUCUAGGGGUCGCCAAAAUCCUGCAACGAAAAUCGCCGUGAGUGGUGGCCGGAAUCUGCCUGUAUUGAAACGGCCAAAACUAGUGAAAUAGAAGCAGAAUUUUCGGGGAUAAGAUUUCAAAAAGUAGACUUUCUGAAAGGGAUUAAUCAGAAGGGUGUUUCUAGGGCAAAGGAAAAUAUUGGGUUAAAUCCCAAAACGACAAAUAACUUUAGCGUCUUGGGAAAGCAAUUAGUGGAUGGGUUGGAACUUUUGAAGGAAGCUGCUGGCCAGGUGGAUCGUGGGCUCGUGAUGGCAGAAUUGGGUAUACAAAAUAGGUCACUGUUAGACCCAGUAAGCCAUAUUAAAGCUGCGAUGGGAAAUAACGAUAACAUUAAGGGUGAUGGGCCUGUUUUAACGGAUCAAGAAAUUAGGGGCUUGGAACUAUCUUUUAAUUCGGACAGUGUCGAUACAGUGCAUGGAGUCUUCCAAAUAACAACGCAUCUUCGACUGAUUUUAAUUAAAGGAAGGUUAAUUCCAUUCGGGCAUUACUGCUCAAAUUAAUCCUAUUUUUGAGGGUCCUGUGGAAUCAGUAGUAGAAAUUAAUAAGGAACUACUUGAUUCUAGUAACCACUCUGCGAUUACUUUUAAGGAAAAAAAUAGACUAAAUAUUGCUAAAUAUACUGAAGCUGGUAUUUCGGUUGGAAGAGAG